rnacentral:rRNA from 1 species
UACGGGGGGUGCGAGCGUUGUCCGGAAUCACUGGGCGUAAAGGGCGCGUAGGUGGUUUGAUAAGGGUGUGGUGAAAGUCCGGGGCUCAACCCCGGAUCUGCCGUGCCGACUGUCAAACUCGAGGGCUGUAGAGGCAGGCGGAAUUCCGGGUGUAGCGGUGGAAUGCGUAGAGAUCCGGAAGAACACCGGUGGCGAAGGCGGUCUGCUGGGCAGUUGCUGACGCUGAGGCGCGACAGCGUGGGGGAGCAAACAGG